rnacentral:rRNA from 1 species
UACGAAGGGUCCAAGCGUUAUCCGGAUUUAUUGGGUUUAAAGGGUGCGUAGGCGGCUUAUUAAGUCAGUGGUGAAAGCCUGUAGCUCAACUACAGAACUGCCAUUGAUACUGAUGAGCUUGAAUAUACUUGAGGUUGGCGGAAUGUGUCAUAUAGCGGUGAAAUGCUUAGAUAUGACACAGAACACCGAUUGCGAAGGCAGCUAGCUAAAGUACAAUUGACGCUGAUGCACGAAAGCGUGGGGAGCAAACAGG